rnacentral:rRNA from 1 species
AUUGAACGCUGGCGGUAUGCUUAACAUAUGCAAGUCGAACGGCAGCACGGUAUGUAGCAAUACAUAUGGGUGGCAAGUGGCGGACGGGUGAGUAACGCGUAGGAAUCUGCCCUCAAGCGGGGGACAACCCGAGGAAACUCGGGCUAAUACCGCAUAAACUCGGAAGAAAAAAGCUGGGGUAACCUGGCACUUGAGGCGGAGCUUGCGUCUGAUUAGCUAGUUGGUAGGGUAAAGGCCUACCAAGGCGAUGAUCAGUAGCUGGUCGGAGAGGAUGACCAGCCACACUGGAACUGAGACACGGUCCAGACUCCUACGGGAGGCAGCAGUGGGGAAUAUUGGACAAUGGGGGAAACCCUGAUCCAGCAAUACCGCGUGUGUGAAGAAGGCCUUCGGGUUGUAAAGCACUUUAGUUGGGGAGGAAGGUUAGCAGUUUAAGAGAUGGCUAAUUUGACUGUACCCAAAGAAUAAGCACCGGCUAACUCUGUGCCAGCAGCCGCGGUAA